AUUGAACGCUGGCGGCAGGCCUAACACAUGCAAGUCGAACGAGUGGCGGACGGGUGAGUAAUGUCUGGGGAUCUGCCCGAUGGCGGGGGAUAACUACUGGAAACGGUAGCUAAUACCGCAUACCAUCAGAUGAACCCAUAUGGGAUUAGCUAGUAGGUAGGGUAACGGCUCACCUAGGCGACGAUCCCUAGCUGGUCUGAGAGGAUGACCAGCCACACUGGAACUGAGACACGGCCCAGACUCCUACGGGAGGCAGCAGUGGGGAAUAUUGCACAAUGGGCGCAAGCCUGAUGCAGCCAUGCCGCGUGUAUGAAGAAGGCCUUCGGGUUGUAAAGUACUUUCAGCCGGGAGGCGUUACCCGCAGAAGAAGCACCGGCUAACUCCGUGCCAGCCGCCGCGGUAAUAC
rnacentral:rRNA from 1 species